rnacentral:rRNA from 1 species
UACGUAGGGUGCAAGCGUUGUCCGGAAUUAUUGGGCGUAAAGGGCUCGUAGGCGGUCCAUCGCGUCGGGAGUGAAAAGCUGGGGCUUAACCCCAGUCCUGCUUUCGAUACGGGUGGACUAGAGGUAGGCAGGGGAGAACGGAAUUCCUGGUGUAGCGGUGAAAUGCGUAGAUAUCGGAAGGAACACCAGUGGCGAAAGCGGCUUCCUGGUCCAGCACCGACGUUCAGGCACGAAAGCGUGGGGAGCAAACAGG